rnacentral:SRP_RNA from 1 species
GCCAGGCAUGGUGGUGUGUACCUGUAGUCCUCUCUACUCAGGAGGCUGAGGUGAGAGGCUUGCUUGAGCCCAGGAGGUCGAGGCUGCGGUGAGCUGUGAUUGUGCCACUGCACUCCAGCCUGGGCAACAAAGUGAGACCUUGUCUCNN